rnacentral:rRNA from 1 species
CCUUCCCUACGGGAGGCAGCAGUGAGGAAUAUUGGUCAAUGGGCGGAAGCCUGAACCAGCCAAGUCGCGUGAGGGAAUAAGGCCCUACGGGUCGUAAACCUCUUUUGCCGGGGAGCAAGGGCCGGGACGCGUCCCGGCCCGGAGAGUACCCGGAGAAAAAGCAUCGGCUAACUCCGUGCCAGCCGCCGCGGUAAUACGGAGGAUGCGAGCGUUAUCCGGAUUUAUUGGGUUUAAAGGGUGCGUAGGCGGGCUUUUA